CGGCCAUCUCUCCAUACACCAUAAUCGGAAUGUCCCUAAGCAGCGGGUGGCUGUCGCCUUCCCCACCCACACUCUACUGGAUCUAAUUAAUAACUGUCACCGAGCCGCCCUUUACGUUUUCCUCUUUUCGGCCUAUCUUGUAGGAUCCCAUUGGACCCCGUAGGACUUGCGCCAACAGUCCCUAAAACGGAGGAAAAUUAACGAAUAA
rnacentral:lncRNA from 1 species